UACGUAGGGAGCAAGCGUUGUCCGGAAUCAUUGGGCGUAAAGAGCGUGUAGGCGGUCCUGUAAGUCCGCUGUGAAAGUCAAGGGCUCAACCCUUGAAUGCCGGUGGAUACUGCAGGACUAGAGUCCGGAAGAGGUAGCUGGAAUUCCCGGUGUAGCGGUGAAAUGCGCAGAUAUCAGGAGGAACACCGGUGGCGAAGGCGGGUCUCUGGGCCGAAAUUGACGCUGAGGAGCGAAAGCGUGGGGAGCAAACAGG
rnacentral:rRNA from 1 species